UACGGAGGGUGCGAGCGUUGUUCGGAAUCACUGGGCGUAAAGCGCGUGUAGGCGGCCCACUAAGUCUGAUGUGAAAGCCCGGGGCUCACCCCCGGAAGUGCAUUGGAAACUGGUGGACUCGAGUCCCGGAGAGGAGAGUGGAAUUCCUGGUGUAGCGGUGAAAUGCGUAGAUAUCAGGAGGAACACCGGUGGCGAAGGCGGGUCUCUGGGCCGUAACUGACGCUGAGGAGCGAAAGCGUGGGGAGCGAACAGG
rnacentral:rRNA from 1 species